rnacentral:tRNA from 1 species
GACUUGAAAAAAUCCGUUGGCUUUAUUGACCGUGAGGGUUCAAGUCCCUCUACCCCCA